GGACGAACGCUGGCGGCGUGCUUAACACAUGCAAGUCGAACGGAAAGGCCUCUUUCGGGGGGUACUCGAGUGGCGAACGGGUGAGUACACGUGAGUAACCUGCCCUUGACUUUGGGAUAACUUCAGGAAACUGGGGCUAAUACCGGAUAGGAGCUCCUGCUGCAUGGUGGGGGUUGGAAAGUUUCGGCGGUUGGGGAUGGACUCGCGGCUUAUCAGCUUGUUGGUGGGGUAGUGGCUUACCAAGGCUUUGACGGGUAGCCGGCCUGAGAGGGUGACCGGCCACAUUGGGACUGAGAUACGGCCCAGACUCCUACGGGAGGCAGCAGUGGGGAAUAUUGCACAAUGGGUGGAAGCCUGAUGCAGCAACGCCGUGUGCGGGAGGACGGCCUUCGGGUUGUAAACCGCUUUCGCUCAUGACGAAGCUUUGUGUGACGGUAGUGGGUAAAGAAGCACCGGCUAACUACGUG
rnacentral:rRNA from 1 species